rnacentral:rRNA from 1 species
GACGAACGCUGGCGGCGUGCCUAAUACAUGCAAGUCGAACGCAGUGGGGACCGGUGAGUUACACGUGGGUAACCUCUCCAUCAAAGGGGAUAACCCUUGAUAACAGGUGCUAAACCGAUACUGAUCGAUGGACCCGCGGUGCAGUAGCUAGUUGGUGAGGUAACGGCGCACCAAGGCAACGAUGCAUAGCCGACCUGAGAGGGUGAUCGGCCACACUGGGACUGAGACACGGCCCAGACUCCUACGGGAGGCAGCAGUAGGGAAUCUUCGGCAAUGGGCGAAAGUCUGACCGAGCAACGCCGCGUGAGUGAAGAAGGUUUUCGGAUCGUAAAACUCUGUUGUUAGAGAAGCGGUAUCUAACCAGAAAGCCACGGCUAACUACGUGCCAGCAGCCGCGGUAAUAC